AUUGCCACAUUGAAACAAUGGUUCCUGUAUGAUCUCCAAAGUUAAGCAACAUCAAGUUUGGUCAGUACCUAGAUGAGUGACUGCUUGGGAAUACCAGAUGCUGUAAG